CUGAUCCUACGGGAGGCAGCAGUGAGGAAUAUUGGUCAAUGGGCGAGAGCCUGAACCAGCCAAGUCGCGUGAAGGAUGACGGCCCUACGGGUUGUAAACUUCUUUUGUCAGGGAGCAAUUGGGUCCACGCGUGGGCUUAGCGAGAGUACCUGAAGAAAAAGCAUCGGCUAACUCCGUGCCAGCAGCCGCGGUAAUACGGAGGGUGCAAGCGUUACUCGGAAUCACUGGGCGUAAAGAGCGCGUAGGCGGGAUAGCAAGUCAGAUGUGAAAUCCUAUGGCUUAACCAUAGAACUGCAUUUGAAACU
rnacentral:rRNA from 1 species